rnacentral:rRNA from 1 species
CCUACGGGAGGCUGCAGUCGAGAAUCAUUCACAAUGGGGGAAACCCUGAUGGUGCGACGCCGCGUGGGGGAUUGCAGGUCUUCGGAUUGUAAACCCCUGUCAUGUGGGAGCAAAUUAAAAAGAUAGUACCACAAGAGGAAGAGACGGCUAACUCUGUGCCAGCAGCCGCGGUAAUACAGAGCUCUCAAGCGUUGUUCGGAAUCACUGGGCGUAAAGCGUGCGUAGGCUGUUUCGUAAGUCGUGUGGGAAAGGCGCGGGCCCAAGCCGCGGAGGGCACAUGAUACUGCGAGACUAGAGUAAUGGAGGAGGAACCGGAAUGCGCGGUGUAGCAGUGAAAUGCGUAGAUAUC